rnacentral:lncRNA from 1 species
ACUUUGUCCGGACUCCUACGGGAGCCAGACUCCGUCCACGAGUUCCACAACAAGGAAGACUUCGCCUGGACUCCUACGGGAGCUGGGCUCCAUCCGUGAUUUCUGCAGCAAGGAAGACUUCGCCUGGACUCCUACGAAAGCCGGGCACCAUCCACGAGUUCUACAGCAAGGAAGACUUCGCCCGGACUCCUACGGGAGCCGGGCUCCAUCCACGGGUUCUACAGCA